rfam:Danio rerio chromosome 16, GRCz11 reference primary assembly.
GUUCACAGCCAUAUCACCUUGCAGCCCAAAACUGGUUACUCACUAAAGCUAAACAGGGCUGAGCUUGCUCAGUACCUGGCUGGGAAACCACAUGGGAAAACUAGGUUGCUGUUGAAA